UUGAACGCUGGCGGCAUGCCUAACACAUGCAAGUCGAACGGCAGCAUGGUCUAGUUUACUAGACUGAUGGCGAGUGGCGGACGGGUGAGUAACGCGUAGGAAUAUACCUUAAAGAGGGGGAUAACUUGGGGAAACUCAAGCUAAUACCGCGUAAGUUCUGAGGAAGAAAGCUGGGGACCUUAUGGCCUGGCGCUUUAAGAAUAGCCUGCGUACGAUUAGCUAGUUGGUGGGGUAAGGGCCUACCAAGGCGACGAUCGUUAGCUGGUCUGAGAGGAUGGCCAGCCACACUGGGACUGAGACACGGCCCAGACUCCUACGGGAGGCAGCAGUGGGGAAUAUUGCGCAAUGGGGGAAACCCUGACGCAGCAAUGCCGCGUGGAGGAUGAAGGUUUUUUCAAAUUGUAAACUCCUUUUGCAGGGGACAAAUGGGCUGGUGAAUAGCCAGCCGUGAUGGUACUCUGCGAAUAAGCCACGGCUAACUUCGUGCCAGCAGCCGCGGUAA
rnacentral:rRNA from 1 species